UACGGAGGGUGCGAGCGUUGUCCGGAAUCAUUGGGCGUAAAGGGCGCGUAGGUGGCCCGGUAAGCGUGCGGUGAAAGCUCGGGGCUCAACCCCGAGUCGGCCGUGCGAACUGCUGGGCUUGAGCACUGUAGAGGCAGGCGGAAUUCCGGGUGUAGCGGUGGAAUGCGUAGAGAUCCGGAGGAAGACCGGUGGCGAAGGCGGUCUGCUGGGCAGUUUCUGACACUGAGGCGCGACAGCGUGGGGAGCAAACAGG
rnacentral:rRNA from 1 species